rnacentral:rRNA from 1 species
CCGCGGGAUUAGAGUUUGAUCCUGGCUCAGAGCGAACGCUGGCGGCAGGCUUAACACAUGCAAGUCGAACGAUCCUUCGGGAUAGUGGCGGACGGGUGAGUAACACGUGGGAACGUGCCUUUAGGUUCGGAACAACACAGGGAAACUUGUGCUAAUACCGGAUAAGCCCUUCGGGGGAAAGAUUUAUCGCCUUUAGAGCGGCCCGCGUCUGAUUAGCUUGUUGGUGAGGUAAAGGCUCACCAAGGCUACGAUCAGUAGCUGGUCUGAGAGGAUGGCCAGCCACAUUGGGACUGAGACACGGCCCAAACUCCUACGGGAGGCAGCAGUGGGGAAUCUUGCGCAAUGGGGGCAACCCUGACGCAGCCAUGCCGCGUGGAUGAUGAAGGUCUUAGGAUUGUAAAAUCCUUUCAGCGGGGACGAUAAUGACGGUACCCGCAGAAGAAGCCCCGGCUAACUUCGUGCCAGCAGCCGCGGUAAUACGAAGGGGGCUAGCGUUGCUCGGAAUUACUGGGCGUAAAGGGCGCGUAGGCGGACAGUUUAGUCGGGGGUGAAAGCCCGGGGCUCAACCUCGGAAUUGCCUUCGAUACUGGCUGUCUUGAGUACGGGAGAGGUGUGUGGAACUCCGAGUGUAGAGGUGAAAUUCGUAGAUAUUCGGAAGAACACCAGUGGCGAAGGCGACACACUGGCCCGUUACUGACGCUGAGGCGCGAAAGCGUGGGGAGCAAACAGGAUUAGAUACCCUGGUAGUCCACGCUGUAAACGAUGAGUGCUAGUUGUCGGCAUGCAUGCAUGUCGGUGACGCAGCUAACGCAUUAAGCACUCCGCCUGGGGAGUACGGU